rnacentral:rRNA from 1 species
AUGGUUAAGUGACGAAGCGUAUACGGUGGAUGCCUUGGCAGUUAGAGGCGAUGAAGGACGUGUAAGUCUGCGAAAAGCUGUGGUGAGCCGACAAAAUGCAUUUGAGCCACAGAUGUCCGAAUGGGGAAACCCACCUGUUUACAGGUAUCGUURCGUGAAUACAUAGCGUAACGAGGCGAACGAGGGGAACUGAAACAUCUAAGUACCCUUAGGAAAAGAAAUCAAACGAGAUUCCCCUAGUAGCGGCGAGCGAACGGGGAACAGCCCUUAAGCUGUUUAGUGUGUAGUGGAAUCCUUUGGGAAGAGGAGCGAUACAGGGUGAUAGCCCCGUACACAAAGCGUGCUUUACAGUGAAAUCGAGUAGGUCGGGACACGUGUUAUCUUGACUGAAUAUGGGGGGACCAUCCUCCAAGGCUAAAUACUCCUAACUGACCGAUAGUGAACCAGUACCGUGAGGGAAAGGCGAAAAGAACCCCUGUGAGGGGAGUGAAAUAGAACCUGAAACCGUAUACGUACAAGCAGUGGGAGCCCUUCGGGGUGACUGCGUACCUUUUGUAUAAUGGGUCAGCGACUUAUAUUUAGUAGCAAGGUUAAGCGAAUAGCGGAGCCGUAGCGAAAGCGAGUGUUAACUGCGCGUUUAGUUGCUAGGUAUAGACCCGAAACCCGGUGAUCUAGCCAUGAGCAGGUUGAAGGUUGAGUAACAUCAACUGGAGGACCGAACCCACUGACGUUGAAAAGUCAGGGGAUGACUUGUGGCUGGGGGUGAAAGGCCAAUCAAACCGGGAGAUAGCUGGUUCUCCCCGAAAUCUAUUUAGGUAGAGCCUCGGACGAAUUCCAUUGGGGGUAGAGCACUGUUAAGGCUAGGGGGUCAUCCCGACUUACCAACCCUUUGCAAACUCCGAAUACCAAUGAGAACUAUCCGGGAGACACACGGCGGGUGCUAACGUCCGUCGUGGAGAGGGAAACAACCCAGACCGCCAGCUAAGGUCCCAAAAUAUUGCUAAGUGGGAAACGAUGUGGGAAGGCACAGACAGCUAGGAGGUUGGCUUAGAAGCAGCCACCCUUUAAAGAAAGCGUAAUAGCUCACUAGUCGAGUCGGCCUGCGCGGAAGAUGUAACGGGGCUAAGCAAUAUACCGAAGCUGCGGCAGCAUGUUUACAUGCUGGGUAGGGGAGCGUUGUGUAAGUGGAUGAAGGUGAGUUGUAAAGCUUGCUGGACAUAUCACAAGUGCGAAUGCUGACAUGAGUAACGAUAAUGGGAGUGAAAAACUCCCACGCCGGAAGACCAAGGUUUCCUGUCCCAUGCUAAUCAGGGCAGGGUAAGUCGGCCCCUAAGGCGAGGCAGAAAUGCGUAGUCGAUGGGAAACGGAUUAAUAUUUCCGUACUUAUAUAAUCAGUGAUGGAGGGACGGAGAAGGCUAGGCAAGCUUGGCGUUGGUUGUCCAAGUGAAAGUGAGUAGGCUGGAAUUUUAGGUAAAUCCGGAAUUCUAAGGCCGAGACACGAGACGAGCUCCCAAGGGAGUGAAGUUGUUGAUGCCCUGCUUCCAGGAAAAGCUUCUAAACUUAUGAUUAUAUGAACCGUACCCCAAACCGACACAGGUGGUCAGGUAGAGAAUACUAAGGCGCUUGAGAGAACUCGGGUGAAGGAACUCGGCAAAAUUGUACCGUAACUUCGGGAGAAGGUACGCCUCUGUUUGUGAACACUUUACGUGGUAAGCAAAUGGAGGCCGCAGUGACCAGGUGGCUGGGACUGUUUAUUAAAAACACAGCACUCUGCAAACUCGUAAGAGGACGUAUAGGGUGUGACACCUGCCCGGUGCCGGAAGGUUAAUUGAUGGGGUUAGUCCUCGGACGAAGCUCUUGAUCGAAGCCCCGGUAAACGGCGGCCGUAACUAUAACGGUCCUAAGGUAGCGAAAUUCCUUGUCGGGUAAGUUCCGACCUGCACGAAUGGUGUAACCAUGGCCACGCUGUCUCCACCCGAGACUCAGUGAAAUUGAAAUCGCAGUGAAGAUGCUGUGUACCCGCACCUAGACGGAAAGACCCCGUGAACCUUUACUACAGCUUGGCACUGAACAUUGAACCUACAUGUGUAGGAUAGGUGGGAGGCUUYGAAGCACAGUCGCUAGAUUGUGUGGAGCCGUCCUUGAAAUACCACCCUUGUAUGUUUGAUGUUCUAACAUUGGUCCCUUAUCGGGGUUGUGGACAGUGUCUGGUGGGUAGUUUGACUGGGGCGGUCUCCUCCCAAAUAGUAACGGAGGAGCACGAAGGUUAGCUAAUCACGGUCGGACAUCGUGAGGUUAGUGCAAUGGCAUAAGCUAGCUUAACUGCGAGACAGACACGUCGAGCAGGUACGAAAGUAGGUCAUAGUGAUCCGGUGGUUCUGUAUGGAAGGGCCAUCGCUCAACGGAUAAAAGGUACUCCGGGGAUAACAGGCUGAUACCGCCCAAGAGUUCAUAUCGACGGCGGUGUUUGGCACCUCGAUGUCGGCUCAUCACAUCCUGGGGCUGAAGUCGGUCCCAAGGGUAUGGCUGUUCGCCAUUUAAAGUGGUACGCGAGCUGGGUUUAGAACGUCGUGAGACAGUUCGGUCCCUAUCUGGUGUGGGCGUUGGAUGAUUGAUGGGAGCUGCUCCUAGUACGAGAGGACCGGAGUGGACGAACCGCUGGUGUUCGGGUUGUCAUGCCAAUGGCAUUGCCCGGUAGCUAUGUUCGGAACGGAUAACCGCUGAAAGCAUCUAAGCGGGAAGCCGGCCCAAAGAUGAGUCAUCCCUGACCUUUAAGGUCUGGAAGGGUUGUUAUAGACGAUGACGUUGAUAGGCAGGGUGUGGAAGCGUUGUAAGGCGUUAAGCUAACCUGUACUAAUUGCCCGAGAGGCUUAACCAU